GUCGCCGGGAGCAGGCUGCACGCUGUGAUUUCAUUUGUGUCCUGUCUCGUUCAUGCUGGCCUUCUUGGGGACAUUGCUGCGAGGAAUGCAUUUACAAGGGAUUUGGGCUCCUUGGAUGACCUGGACAGUUUGAAGAUACAUUAACUACAGAGUUGAAAAUGAGAGCUUCAUGUCCUCUUUGCUUCUGGGAAUGCCUCGUGGUUGUCCACGCGCUGGUCUCUGCCCCACGCGUGAGUGCACAUGUGCAGGUGCCCCCCUCCCUCCCUGAUCCUCUUCAUGGAGUCCCCGACAUGCCCUCCGUGAUCCUCUUCAUGGAGUCCCCGACCCGCCCUCCCUGAUCCUCUUCAUGGAGUCCAUGCGCCACCUUCCUGCACCUUCCUCCGUUAUGCUUCACCCAGAGCUUCACACAUGGACAUACAUUUUAGAAAACGAAAGAAAUGGUUAAGUCUGUAUGAUGGUAACAAUCUUGACUAAUAUAUCGCAGUAGUACUCUAACCAGACAAUUUACUGAAAAACAAUCUAAUUUUUUGGGCUGUGCACUCCUGAUGAAUCUGUGAGCUCUCCUAACCAUAACGCUAACCAUAACCCUAACCCAUUUUAUUCUCCCCAUCAUCUUAUUACCUGUCAUUGGCCUGGCCUCUGCUGGGUGUCCCAUAAAUUUAAUGAGUCAAACUACUCACAGAAUGAGUAAUUAAGACGCCUAAAACUCUCAUUUACUUGGAUUUAUGUUUCACUUUUUACCAAGUUUUAUUUGCAUUGUACAGUCAAAAAAAAUUUCACAAAUAAAGAAAAAUAAGCUCCUAAAUUUGUACUCCCAGAAAAAAAAAGAUCUCAAGCUUUAAAAAGUAACCACCUCUUCUUUAAUAAAGUGGAGUAGAACUUGUAAAAUAAAUUGACCCGCCCUGGGAAAAGUGUUAUUUCUAAGAUAUUAGAAAUGAAACAUGACCUUUGCAGCAGACUGUGGUAGGAAUCUUAAUUGUUGAAGGUUCCGGAGAGGUUUGGGAUUCUCAGAGGGACAAGGACUUGAACCUUAACAGUAUUUAGCUCACUGAAUUGCCCCGAAAUGUAAACAGCCCGUAGUUGGGGCAACAGUGGCCGCUGUGACCUGUCGCAUGACAACACGGUGAGAAGAAAGUGAUGUCAUCAUCAUUCCUGCCUGGACUACCAGGCCUCGUGCAUCUGAAGAGCUGACCAGCCUCAAGAGUCCCACAGGCAAAGCGCUCACCGCAGAGUCGCAGCAGCUCCCAUGGAUUCUUCUUUAUGGGUAUUGUGACCCAUUGUUCACCCACCACCCAUUUCUCUAAUAUCAACAAGACAGAAAUGGCACUUGCCCGUUCUGAGCACGGGCUCCUUGGCUUCCCGGAAUUUCAUUAACCCCUGGCUCCGCUCCGGAGCUUCUAGUUAUCGUAUUCUAAACAGACACCGGCUUUUUUUCACAUCACUGAGGACUCAAAAAUGGGAAAGGUGGAGAGAAAAGAUCCCAUUUCCUCCGGACACA
rnacentral:lncRNA from 10 species